rnacentral:rRNA from 1 species
UAGUCCAUGCCGUAAACGUUGGGCACUAGGUGUGGGGGACAUUCCACGUUUUCCGCGCCGUAGCUAACGCAUUAAGUGCCCCGCCUGGGGAGUACGGCCGCAAGGCUAAAACUCAAAGGAAUUGACGGGGGCCCGCACAAGCGGCGGAGCAUGCGGAUUAAUUCGAUGCAACGCGAAGAACCUUACCAAGGCUUGACAUGUUCCAGACCGGGCCAGAGAUGGUCUUUCCCCUUUGGGGCUGGUUCAC